rnacentral:tRNA from 1 species
GCGGAUGUGGCGGAAUGGCAGACGCGCUAGUUUCAGGUACUAGUACCCGCAAGGGUGUGGGGGUUCAACUCCCCCCAUCCGCACCA